rnacentral:rRNA from 1 species
AUGAGGACUACCCAGGUGUUGCUCCUGGCCCUCGCCUUGCUCAUGCUAGCAUCAGGUGCGGUAACGGAGGCGUCAAUGGACGGUAGCGCUAAGUUCAGGUACAGGUGUGAGGAUACCCUUAUCCCAUCACCAAAGCCAUGUGACGACGACACUUGUAAUGUGGCGUGCUACAACCUCAUGGGGGUACCCAAACAAGGCAAGUGUGACGCCGUCGGGUGCAAGUGCAUGAUAUGCGAACGCCAGCCUCCAAUGAGUAGUAACUACUCCCUCAGUUCGGAAUUACUUGUCUCGAAAAUGGAUGUAUCUAGAACUAAAAUACAUCUAGAUACAUUCAUUUCUGCGACAAGUAAUUCCGAACGAAGGGAGUAG